UUUUUUUUUUUUUUUUUUUUUUUUUUUUUUUUAAUACCAGGGAAGAAAGAGACAGUCACAUGUACCAAUACAGUGAUGUGGAUCAUUCAGGAAGGCUAAUUAAAGCAGUGUGGAAAAAGAAAACUACACCAAGUUGCCAUGACCUACACACUGGCAUCCCUCAUAUGAAGAGGGAACAUUUGGCUUCAUACAAAGAUGCUGACUGCAGUUCGUCGUGGCUGUAGGAAGAAAUUUGGCAGAGAGGCACCUCAUGCUCACAACAGGCACAGGAUUCACACAACAGCCAUUUGGACUACAGGAAAUCUGUGUUGCCAGAGCUCAGGAGACUCCUGUGGCAGCUGCAAGGCAAUUAGAGGCAUUUGAGAGGGUAAGCACCCAUGCAUCUAAGCACAUUUCAAAACAGGUAAGAGACAAACCUGUGACUUUCUUCAGUGAUGAGAAUUUGUGGGGUGUGUGAUGGUGAGAGAGCUUUAGUGGUGGAUGAUGGCCACAUCCAUGGAAAUGUGAGCUGAAGGGACUCAGGUGAGUUCUGGCAGAGUUAAGUACAAACCAGCAGUUGGCAGAACACCUGUAACAAGCUCCAGCUGCUGGAGGAAGGGAGCCAGGCACUGCCUGCUGAAGCAUCACCUCUUGCACCUGGGGACAAUGGGAUAUGUUUGCAGUUGGUGGCAAAAAUUUAAAAAAAGGAUGAAAGAAAACAAAUAAGCAUGGAAAUGGAGGAACUGAAAAUGGAACAGAGAUCUGAAUUUAUGUGUGGCAAACAAAUGAUACAAAGGAAGAGAGAAAUGCUUGAGCCCUAGAGGAAGAGAUGUUAGAGCAGUAAUUUCAAAAUAAGAUUAUGGUUGUUGCAGGGAAGGAGGGGAAAGUCACCAAGUACAGGACACUGUUCUGUAGAGGUGUGAGAAAUGGGCAGUAGAAAAGAGACCAGGAAUGAAGGAGGGACUGGAACAGGAUGGAGAAACAGAAAAGAUGAGAAGGGGAAAAACUUAUCCACUCUUGUAAGGGUUUUUAGUCUACACAAAAGAAAGCUGAUGAAGUAGAAUAAAGAAAAAAGCAUGUAAAUUCAAGGAAAUUGAAGGAAACUAAAAUGAUGGGAAGAGUGAGGGGUGGAGAAUGGAAUAAGGAGAACAAAAAUUUGAAAUAUUAAUAAGUAGAAAAAUAGAAGGAUUGGUAACCUGUAUUUAGAUAAUGUGGGCUUUGUAAAAUUAGUUUCUCCAUUUCCCACAGUCUAA